ACCCACCUGCAUAUUGAUUGCAGGCUGGCAUCAGGUAUAAAGCUAAGCCGGUGCUUCUCUGGAUUAUUCCUCCCAUGCAUUCAGCGCAAAGCAGCAGUAAAUGCUGGUACUCUGCGACGGACUGAUCAGCAAGAGUAGAUCAUAUGACAGCCACAGCGCGGCAGUUUGUUUUAUUCCGGCGUUGCGGAGAGAGGUGCUCGUGUGAUCCCCACCAGUGAGAGUAUAGCGCCUCCGGUCCUGGGGUAAGCCGUUAAAACUAUUUUUAUUAGCAUUAACAGCUACCACAGGCUAAGGUUACAUUUAUCUGUUUUAGGGUUUGAUCGCUGCCUUCACCUCCGUGGCAACUCGCACAGCCUUAAUUGAAGAAUCAAGACGCCUGCCUAGCCGUUGUUGUGAGGACUCCUCCUCGGUGGAGCCUGCUGUCUUGUCUUGUCUGGUUUUGAAUUGUUUUAUCGUGUCUUAUCUUGUUUUAUUAAGUAGGCCUACCAUUUCCUGGUUCGCCUGGUUUUAUUUUAUUUUAUCUCUGGACUGUUGCGUGUGCCCACGCUUCUGUGAUCGGGCUGAAGCAAUCCUUUGCCCGAGUGUCGUGCCGGGAAUUUUAAAUUGCGUCCGUUGCUGGUCUUAGCCUGUGGGGAGCCAGACCAGCUUGCGAUUGAGGCUUGGACAACUACUACCAGUACGAGUGGACCCGUGGGGCAUAAGCCUUCCAGUGUGUGUGCGUGUGUGCGGUUUCUUUUAUUAAAGUUAUUAAAGUGUGUUUUAGUUUUUUAUGAUCUGUAGCGAGCCAGACGCUCAGUGUCCCUUUUAUUCUUUUAACAUAUUUCUGUUUUAUUUCAGUGGACGAAGGACGUGCCAGUGGCCCUGGGACCUCAGGUGGUGGGUCGUUUUCACACUUUCUUUUGUACAGCACCUGGUGGGCUGCAGUGAUUUUCGUUUUGUGUGAUUUUCUUUUGGGUCCACGGCUGCUGGUAAGUCCAAGUUCCAUGAUUGUUUUAUUUUCACUUUAGGACACUGUCAACAAUGACGCUACAUCUUGGUUUCUAAAUAUUUUAUUUAUUUUUACUAUAAAUAAAACUGUUUUAAUAUUGGA